CCUAGGCUGGAAUGCAGUGGUGUGAUCUCAGCUCACGGUAACCUCUGCCUCCUGUGUUCAAGUGACUCUCAUGCCUGAGCUUCUCAAGCAGCUGGAACUUAAGUCACCAGCCACCACCCCU